rnacentral:rRNA from 1 species
GUCGAACGGAGCACCCCUGAACGAGGUUUCGGCCGAAGUGAAGGCCCUUCUUAGUGGCGGACGGGUGAGUAACGCGUGAGCAACCUGCCUUGAAGUGGGGGACAACAGUUGGAAACGACUGCUAAUACCGCAUAAAAUAUCUGCAUCGCAUGGUGCGGAUAUCAAAGAUUUAUCGCUUCAAGAUGGGCUCGCGUCUGAUUAGGUAGUUGGCGGGGUAACGGCCCACCAAGCCGACGAUCAGUAGCCGGACUGAGAGGUUGAACGGCCACAUUGGGACUGAGAUACGGCCCAGACUCCUACGGGAGGCAGCAGUGGGGAAUAUUGGGCAAUGGGCGCAAGCCUGACCCAGCAAUGCCGCGUGAAGGAAGAAGGCUUUCGGGUUGUAAACUUCUUUGACAGGGGAAGAGCAGAAGACGGUACCCUGAAAACAAGCCACGGCUAACUACGUGCCAGCAGCCGCGGUAAUACGUAGGUGGCAAGCGUUGUCCGGAUUUACUGGGUGUAAAGGGCGUGUAGCCGGGAAGGCAAGUCAGAUGUGAAAUCCGGAGGCUCAACCUCCGAAUUGCAUUUGAAACUGUUUUUCUUGAGUACUGGAGAGGCAGACGGAAUUCCUUG